ensembl:snRNA
AAAGAGGGCUUCUGUUGUGAGUAGCACAUGUGGGGCAACUCAACUGCUCUUCAUGUGGAAGCGACAUCAAGACAUUUCAAAAGUAUAAUUUUUUGGUAUCUGGGCAGUUGGUGAUCAUUGAUCCUGGUGUCUGU